AUCGCGUCCCGGCCUUUCGAAUAAGGUCAACGUAGUCUCUGUUCUUCCCAACCGUCUGAUCCAUCCUCUAUCCAAGGACAAUCUAUUAAGUGGAUCUUGGGAGCUGGGAGCUGGGAUAGGGGCUUGCUCCGUCCACUCCACGCAUGGAGCUGGUUUUGCAGUACCUCUGGGAAGGUGCACCCCCU
rnacentral:snRNA from 1 species